rnacentral:rRNA from 1 species
GCCAGCAGCCACAUCGCCCUGCAGCUCUUAAUUGGCAGCUCACUGGAGUAAAGCAGGGUUGAGCUUGGUCAGUACCUGGAUGGGAGACCUCCUGGGAAGCUAUGGCUGCUGUUGGAA